rnacentral:rRNA from 1 species
UACGAAGGGGGCUAGCGUUGCUCGGAAUCACUGGGCGUAAAGCGCACGUAGGCGGAUCUUUAAGUCAGGGGUGAAAUCCUGGAGCUCAACUCCAGAACUGCCUUUGAUACUGGGGAUCUCGAGUCCGGAAGAGGUGAGUGGAACUCCGAGUGUAGAGGUGAAAUUCGUAGAUAUUCGGAAAGAACACCAGUGGCGAAGGCGGCUCACUGGUCCGGUACUGACGCUGAGGUGCGAAAGCGUGGGGAGCAACAGG